CGUUCACUUGCGUUGACAAGGCAAGCAGAGAGCCAUGAGCUCUUGUGGUCCAGUCCUUGGUGGACUCCCUGGCCUCAGGAAAGCCCUUCAGAGUGGCCUUUCACGUGCGUGGAGGCGCUGGGUCAGCCGUGGGUCCAGAACACUCAGGCGAUUUUUCUCAAGGACACCGGAAGUGAGACAGGACAUAGCCUCGCAGGGAGGUGACAAACGUUCCUCCCUGGAUGUGUCCUGUCUGGUGGACAGCUUCACCUCACUAAUGCGCCAGGAGUUGGAGAAGGACCUCGUGAACGUCCUACAGAGGCAGGACCCCUCCUGGGUGGAAGAUUUGUUGUGCAGACGCCAAAAGGUGACCAGCAUCCAGAAAGUGCUAGAGGUCCUCAGUCAAAGGUGUGUGCCACCUCCAGGGCCUGGGACAUGGCGAUCUCUUGGUGUGGUGGAUGGGAUGGCAGGCACCACUCUGGACCUCUGGCAACUCUGUGGGAUGUAGGAUAUUCACAGGAGAACCCACCAGGGUGUUGAACCAACCAAGUAGGAUGAGCCCUAGGAGUGUAGUUCCUAGGCCUUGUACUGGGCCAGGCUUCCAAGGCCUCAGGACUUCCCCUGGGGGCCUGUCCUGCCCCUGUGGGGAACUCUUCUGCCUCAGCCCAGCUGGACAGAGGCCUCAGGAAGAGCAGUUUGAACAUUUGGGAAGGAGCAUGUGGCUUGCAUGAGGAAGGGCCCCUGACCUGCCUGGAGGCAGAGUGGGGACUGCUGGGGUGGACAGAGUGGGACCUGGUUGUGUUCAUUCAUGGGCCCAACAGAUGUGAAGCACCUGCCCUUGGCAGGCACAUGGCCUAUCCAUUAGGAAGCAGUGCACGCACACCUCCCAGCCCUCCUGAGCUUUCACUAUUGGCAGGAAGUUAGUCAAAGCCACCAGGCAUCUUGGUUCAUGCAGGGCACAGGAUGUAGGAGGUGACAUUCUCCUGGCCUUCUCUAGGUAUGAGGACCAGCAGCUAUGCAUGGAGGAAGUCUUCCUUCUGGGACAGAACUCCAUCUGCUCCACUGUCCAAAUGUGGCUCUACUUGUACCCAGAAGAUUUUGUGGGGUCCAUGGACAGCCUGAGGAGUCUCAGGACCUUCUUGCUCCACACCAUGCCGCAGUCAGGGCUGACAGUACAGGUGGAGAGGCUCCUGACAGGGCUGGAGAACACAGAUCCCAGUGAGUCCCAGGCCUGUGAUGAGGGGCCUCGGGUGGGUGACCGCUUGUGUGUGUCCUGGAACCUCUGCUGCUCCUACUGGGAACUGGCCUGUGGUCCCCAGCCUAAUACUCCUGACCCCACCUGCAGCUGGAGGGCCCUCGUCCGGGAAGAAGUCCUGGUGUCUGGAUAGGGGCUGGGCUCUUCUCACAGCCAGGGUUCUUCUGAGAAUCGGGAAAGACAAAGGGAAAGGCAGUCACGUUGGGGCUCUUUUCUCUUGCAGCUGCCUCUCCAGGAAAAACCCUCAAUUAAACACAGCACAACACCAGAAGCACCAGGUCACCCAUCUCUCAGGCCAGCACCCACUCCACAUGUCCUGGAGAGUGGACACUGCCCUAGAGCUCAUGUCUCCUCUGGCCCCUCUACCUCUGUGAGCUCCUGAGGACUACUCAGUCCCAGGUCCCCACCACGCCUCUCCUCUUCCUCUCCUCUGGAAUCUCCUGGAUUUCUAAAAUUUAUUUAUUUCCUUCUUGUUUCUUU